rnacentral:lncRNA from 14 species
CUUUGGUUAACCAAACCCAAGGGCUGGCCAUGCAAAAGCUUUUAUAUCUAAGUAGGCAAAUUGGAACUAUUCCCAAGUUGAAGGCCCCAGCCCUGAGGACUGCAUAAUAUAAUGGCAUAUGAGAAGUGAGGCAGUAAUGCAAUUCAAAAGAAAAGAAGAAAGCAUUCCCCACCACUCUUCUGGAUCUUUCUGCUAGAGGCCGACAUCAUGGUAAGUUUCCUAAAUAUAAGCCCAGGUGGCUUCAAACAUAAUUGGAUACAAAUAGGAAGUGGAAGAAGGUAUGGCACUUUAUCAUCAGUAGCAAGUACUGCUGCUCACACGCAUUGGAUUGGCAAUGAUUUGUCUAUACAGGUAGUAAAGAACCCAAUUUGGUUGUUGGCCACUAAUUGUGCAGUAGAAAUGCAAUCUAAUCAGACGUACAAGGCAGUAAAAAGGGCUACCAGGAUCUCUUUUCUGGUUCCUUACACAGAGCUUCCUCCAGCAAACACCCACAUCAAUCACAUAUACAUUCCCAUGGACUACUUGUAUGAGUAAAGUUACUCCUCUCUAUACGAGUGUCUGCAGGAGUAAGCCAAUAUAUUGCCAUUACAAAGAAUGCCAGAUAACACCAAACAUUACAGUGUAUGUAAACUUUAUCCAUAAAAAGUAGUUUAACUGCAGUGCACACUGAAUUUUCACCCAGGAAGAUCUAGUGCAUCUGAUUUAAGCAAAAGUUCAUUUAUUUAAAUUACAAAAAUAUGAUUUUAUUUUCUUUUUUUCUCCUCAAGGUUUUCAAAUGGUGGAUUGACCACUCCUGUCUGGGAGUGGCUCACAGAAUAGAUAAUUAAAGAAUUGUUUCUUUUUCUUUUCUUUUAUUAAUACUGAAUAGCAUAUUCCAGCAGCAUAUUAAAAGCUCUUUUAAGAAAAGACAAAAUCCCCAAAAUCUAAAAAGGAAAACCACAAGUUAAUUACUGUUUUAAAUAAUUUUAGUUAUAGAUACAGAAGAAAUUUAGACAGCAGUAAAAUAUUUUUUUUGUCCUUCAGAUCUGCCCUGUGCAUUGUUCUGAUUUCAACCAUGUAUUAAAUAAACCACAAAAAACUAAGUAUAUAUAUAUUUAU